UACGUAGGGUGCAAGCGUUGUCCGGAAUUAUUGGGCGUAAAGAGCUCGUAGGUGGCCUGUCGCGUCGGCUGUGAAAACUCGGGGCUCAACUCCGAGCUUGCAGUCGAUACGGGCAGGCUAGAGUUCGGCAGGGGGAGACUGGAAUUCCUGGUGUAGCGGUGAAAUGCGCAGAUAUCGGGAGGAACACCGGUGGCGAAGGCGGUUCUCUGGGCCUGUACUGACGCUGAGGAGCGAAAGCGUGGGGAGCGAACAGG
rnacentral:rRNA from 1 species